GCCGGGCGUGGUGGCGGGCACCUGUAGUCCCAGCUACUCGGGAGGCUGAGGCAGGAGAAUGGCGUGAACCUGGGAGGUGGAGCUUGCAGUGAGCCGAGAUCGCGCCACUGCACUCCAGCCUGGGCGACAGAGCGAGACUCCGUCUCAAAAAAAAAAAAAAAAAAAAAGAAUCUUGCUCUGUCGCCCAGGCUGGAAUGCAGUGGCACAAUCUCGGCUCACUGCAGCCUCUGCCUCCUGGGUUCAAGCGACUCUUCUGCCUCAG
rnacentral:SRP_RNA from 2 species